GGAUGUGAGGGCGAUCUGGCUGUGACAUCUGUCACCCCAUUGAUCGCCAGGGUUGAUUCGGCUGAUCUGGCUGGCUAGGCAGGUGUCCCCUUCCUCCCUCACCGCUCCAUGAGCGUCCCUCCCGAAGCUGUAUGCUCAGUCGAAGAGGACGACCUUCCCCGAUAGAGGAGGACCGUUCUUCGGUCAAGGGUAUACUAGCAGCUGCGCUCCCCGGCUAGAACCUCCGAACAAGCUCUCAAGGUAAGGGCUUAGAGCCCCCUUCAAAUCCCUGGUGUGACCUGCAUCCCAUCAG
rfam:Ailuropoda melanoleuca scaffold2959_4, whole genome shotgun sequence.